AUUGAACGCUGGCGGCGGGCCUAACACAUGCAAGUCGAGCGGGGUUUUCAGACCUAGCGGCGGACGGGUGAGUAAUGCGUAGGAAGCUACCCGAUAGAGGGGGAUACAAGUUGGAAACGACUGUUAAUACCGCAUAAUGUCUACGGACCAAAGUGUGGGACCUUCGGGCCACAUGCUAUCGGAUGCGCCUACGUGGGAUUAGCUAGUUGGUGGGGUAAUGGCUCACCAAGGCGACGAUCCCUAGCUGGUUUGAGAGGAUGAUCAGCCACACUGGAACUGAGACACGGUCCAGACUCCUACGGGAGGCAGCAGUGGGGAAUAUUGGACAAUGGGCGCAAGCCUGAUCCAGCCAUGCCGCGUGUGUGAAGAAGGCCUUCGGGUUGUAAAGCACUUUCAGUAGGGAGGAAGGGUGUUGUGUUAAUAGCACAGCAUUUUGACGUUACCUACAGAAGAAGCACCGGCUAACUCUGUGCCAGCCGCCGCGGUAAAAC
rnacentral:rRNA from 1 species